rfam:Faecalibacterium prausnitzii SL3/3 draft genome.
AGACCGCAUCCCUGCUGACGGAACCUUGUGGAGCACCACAGUGCAGGGGUGCUGGGGAUGUCAAUGCCGACCGUCUGGGCAGCCUUG